CAUCGGGUCACAGCAGCGAAAGCAUCUGCUGGUGUAACGCGAUCAGACGAGCAGGGUAAAACCCAAUUCUCCUGCAUAUUUAACAGCCACGGCUCCCUCAGACCUUGAAAUCUGAGAGCACUCAACAGCCUCUUCUUAACCGUGCCCAGAUGGCCCCCGGUUCGCCCCACUCACCUGGUGCUCGCAGGCUGGUUGGCAGCAGCACAGCUGCAUCACGCCCAGCAGCGCACCCCACCCAGCCUUGGGCAAGAGGGAAAAGUCAAAAGGGGGCCCCAAAAACUCUGGGAGGAUGUGUGAGCACCCAGCAGAGGAGCCUCAACUUCUCUACAAAGGUCUCCAGUGGGAAUUAAUGGAGACUGUUAAGAAUAUUAAGAAUACAACUUGAAGGAAAAAUAAAAAUCUGAAGCCCACCCAGCAGAUCACUGGUGAGCCCCACGGGAGGCACACGAAGUCAACCCAGUUGCCAAGGAUGCCCAAAGCAAGAUCCCAGGCAGAGCCCUCAUGCUAAGAGGACGAGGCAGCACCACAAGAUCUGCACGAUAAAUCAUUCUGGUCGGCCUGCUCGGAACUGAACUGUCAGAACUCAUUAACCAAGCAGCAGCAGUGAUGAUUUCUCAAAUUCUUUAAAACCAAGGCUUGCUCACAAAUAAAACUGACAGAACACCAGGGGACAGAAGUAAUACCAAAAAUGUGUCGCCUUUUUGUUACUGAUGUGAUGCCACAGAACACACCCAACCAUUUUUGUAUUGUGGUUGUCUAACAGAAGACCUUUGAAGGACUUACACACCCUCACUGUACAGUAGCAAAAGAAAACCCAAGAAAAGCAGUUUUUCUUAAGGCACAGCUAGCAUCAGAAGACCCUUUAUGUGCACAGGGCUCAGGGCACAAAUUGCUUUAGCAGCCCAGGAAAUGGGUAAUACUUUAAAAAGUCUAUCUGCAUCCUUGAUAAAAUAAUUCUUGCGGUGUUUCUGCUGAUGCACGGACCAGAAGUGCUGCAGAGCACAGCAGAGAAGUUUCUCCGAGAUGGGUGAACUAGCUCAGUGCAGUUUUCACCAUGUCCAUACGUUAACUAAUGCAUGAUACCAACAUUUAGUUAGAUGACGUUACUGAUCCAUUUAUUUGACAAAUUAAGUUCAAACUUUUUUUUAUUAAGCACAUUCCACGGUACAAAGCUUUAGAUCAUGAACGAUAUCUGUACAAUUUAACAGUUUCAAUAAGCUGUUCAUACACCAACUUUCCAAACAGAUAAUUGGCAAACAUAAUUACAAGUUAGAAUUAGACUAUCCCAGUGCUUUGAAACAUUA